UUAAUGUUGGCCCUUUUGGAUUGACACAGCAAAUAAUUACUGUUCUAUUUACAGUCGAAGGUUCAACCUGCAGUGGUAUGGAGGAACUCUUCAGGAGCCACUGUGUCCUUCUGCAUGUAUGCUGCUUCUUGAAGUCUCCUUCUCCUCAAGCAAGGUAAAAGAAAGUUCUCCAAUACAUUCAGAAGAUGUCUGCAGCUAAACAGGGC
rnacentral:lncRNA from 1 species